CGUAAGGCUUCCACUUUACAAUUAACUUGGCCUUUUAGUCGAAAGAUACCUGCUGUUAUUCUUCUUGUUUGUAUUUGCAAUCGUGUAACAUUCUCUCCGUCUCCUCAUUUUUUUUUUUUGUCAUUGUUGUCGCACAUAUUCGCCCGCUUUCUUCCAAAAAUUUAAAGCCUUUAGCUUAGAUUUUUGGGGCCAGUCAAUUUUGAACAGUAACAAGCCGAAACUGUAGUGACAAUUGGAAACUUGACUGAGGAAUAGAAAUCCACAAAUGUUCCGUCCUGGUUUUCCUGUCAGUCUUUGUAUCAUCCAUCUGUCCGUAUGAUUUCAUUGUCAUCCGUUAUGUUCUUCUGUUUUUUGGAUCUAUCUAUCUAUCUAUCUAUCUAUCUAUCUAUCUAUCUAUCUAUCUAUAUCUAUAUCUAUCUAUCUAUAUAUAUAUACAUAUAUAUAAGAUGUGGCUGUGUGUUAAGAAGCUUGCUUCCCAAUCACGUGGUUCCUGGUUCAGUCUCACUGCGUGGCACUUUGGGCAAGUGUCUUCUACUAUAGCCUUGGGCCGAUCAAAGCCUUGUGGGUGAAUCUGGUAGACGAAAACUGAAAGAAGCUCGUCGUAUAUACAUGUAUAUGUAUCUGUGUGUGUGUCUGUGUUUUUCCCUGCAAUCACCACUUGACAACCGGUGUUGGUGUGUUUAGAUUUCCCAUAUAUAUAUUCUAGCAGUUCGGCAAAAUGAACCGAUAAAAUAAGUACCAUGCUUAAAAAUAAGUUCUGGGGUCGACUCAUUCGACUAAAAAUUCAAGGCAGUGCCACAGCAUGGCCGCAGUCUAACGAGUGAAACAAAUGAAAGAUAAAAGAUAGGAGAUAUGGCAGCUGAGUUAUGUUUGUGCCUCUUACAUGCUUUAUUAGCAAACUAUCACGGUAAUAAUAAUAAUAAUAAUAAUAAUAAUAAUAAUAAUCCUUCCUACUAUAGGCAGAAGGACUGGAAUUUUUGGUGGUGGGGGUGGGAGGUCAAUCACAUCGACCCCUUUUUUCUGACUGGUACUUUAAUUUAUCGUCCCGAAAGAUUGAAAGGCAAAGUCUGUCCCGCCGGAAUUUGAGCUGAGAACGUAAGGACGAACAAAAUGCCGCUAACCAUAUUGUCCGGCAAGCUGACGAUUCUGUUAGCUCACUGCCUCAACAACAACAACAACAACAACAACAACAACAAUAAUAAUAAUAAUGAUAAUAAUAAUAAUAAUAAUAAUAAUAAUAAUAAUAAUAAUAAUAAUAACGUAUAAUAAAAAAAUAUUCAGACAAAUACAUAACAAAAACACCAGGACUUACAAAUAUAUAUAACAUACAGAAAAUUGCACUACUGGGUACUGCACACAUUCUACGCAAAACACUUUCAAUACAGUAAACAUAAGAGCACCACAGCACAUACCCAAGGCGCACAGAGCUGCGCUCGGUAGUGAAGUGAAAGCACGUUAUAAAAAUAAAACUACUGAAUAAUAAUAAUAAUAAUAAUAAUAAUAAUAAUAAUAAUCUCUUCUGCUAAAGGCACAAGGUUGCAUUGGCUUUUGAGAAUGUAUAUAGAAAUUGCUUGUGUAACAUGCUAGAAGACGGACAUUCCUUUUGCAGCUAAUAACUGAUGAUUAUAAUAAGAUUAAUUCUAACAGUUUCGAUAAUUAUAAAAAGAAAUUUUAACAUGAAAUACACGUUUUUUCUACUUGAAGAAUACAAAGUGUGGCACCCCCAUGUAACAGAAUAAAUGACUGCAGUAAAAAGCAAGACGGACCGUACGCCGAUGUUUCCGAAGGUUGCAGCAGUUAUUACACAUGUUACAGACAUCAGUUCGUUGGUCGUAACUUCUGUCCGGGUGAUCUUAUUUUCAAUCAAGCUAAAAGAGUCUGUGAUUAUAAGGACAGUGCCACGUGCAAAUAAAAUCCAGCCGAACACACGCACGCACACACAUAGAUCAUUUAUGAAUAUUCAGUAAUAAAAUCAGAUACUUUAUUACAAAAUUUAA